rnacentral:rRNA from 1 species
AUUGAACGCUGGCGGCAGGCUUAACACAUGCAAGUCGAGCGGUAACAGAGAGUAGCUUGCUACUUUGCUGACGAGCGGCGGACGGGUGAGUAAUGCUUGGGAAUAUGCCUUUGAGUGGGGGACAACAGUUGGAAACGACUGCUAAUACCGCAUAACGUCUACGGACCAAAGGGGGGGAUCUUCGGACCUCUCGCUCAUUGAUUAGCCCAAGUGAGAUUAGCUAGUUGGUAAGGUAAUGGCUUACCAAGGCGACGAUCUCUAGCUGGUUUGAGAGGAUGAUCAGCCACACUGGGACUGAGACACGGCCCAGACUCCUACGGGAGGCAGCAGUGGGGAAUAUUGCACAAUGGGCGAAAGCCUGAUGCAGCCAUGCCGCGUGUGUGAAGAAGGCCUUCGGGUUGUAAAGCACUUUCAGUUGUGAGGAAAGGAAUGUAGUUAAUAGCUGCAUUCUGUGACGUUAACAACAGAAGAAGCACCGCUAACUU